GAAAUACUAAGACAUACGCGUAAUGAAGCCUCCUUGGUUUCUAAUGAGGGGGACAUCCCACUGACAGGGGCGGGCUGAAACUCUGAACUGGGAGAAUGAGGCUGAAAUCCCCAUGACCUUGAGGCAGCUGCUGAAGACUUUAAUGCCCCUGGUACAUAGUUGUAUAUUCUUCGUUGUGGCUUCUUCUAGUUGUGGCAUGUGGGACGCUGCCUCAGCGUGGUUUGAUGAGCAGUGCCAUGUCCGCGCCCAGGAUUCGAACCACCGAAACACUGGGCCACCUGCAGCGGAGAGCGCGAACUUAACCACUCGGCCACAGGGCCAGCCCCCUUUAUAAACCAUUUUUAAGAAGAAAAAAAAUGCUUCAAGAGACUCAUUGAAAAAACCAGGCAGCCUUUUACAGAGGAGAAAGGCUUUUAAAGUACCAAAAUAUGUUCAUCCUUGACUCUGUAUAAAUAUUCAGACCUCACGCACCGACCAUCAGCCGACGUGUUUCAGCAUGUUCCGGAUCACAGAGACAUGGGGGAGAGAGUAGAUGGUGCAACCCGGGACUUCACCUUUACACAAAACAUCAGAACAACAGUGGGAAGCCGUGCGUGAAAGAUGCUGCUUGGAGCUGUGUCACCUUUGAAGAGCUGUGGUCUCAGAAGGAGGUCACCGGCAGAGCUCCCUACUCUUCUGGGGAAAGCGCAUCUGCUCUGGUGAGACCUGCUUCCUCUGCCCUGGCCUGCAUCCAUCUCCUCCAUCUUUCUUCGGCUCCCUGUCAUCACUUCCAGUGGACAAGCAAGGCCCUGGCAGCCACCACUCUACUCUAUCCAGCAGUUCUUUCUGACUGCUGGUCCUGUGACCAACAGUGGCCCCAGACCUAACACCAGAUGCAAAGGCUAUAGCUUUCCAUGGGCUUCUCUAGAAGCUCUGCUUUCACAGUCCCACUCCAGCAACUGGAUGUGCCCGGCUUCCCAUAUUCCUUGGCAAGCUUUGACUGGUCCAUUCACACCAGCGCUUUGGGAGGGCUGGUUAGUGACAGGUCCUCCAACUCCCCCGCGGGCACCCCUACUUCCUCAGCUUCUCCCACAACUGCCUAACAUAUCCUGUAAGGCUUACAGUGGAUCUGCUUUCCCAGGUUGAACUCUGACUGAUAGAAUAGCCAACAUGGUAAAAGUAUGGGACUUGCCGAAGAAAUACAAAGGCGUCCCUGCCCUCGAGGGGCUCCCAGCCCAUUGGGGAGAUGGAGCAUUUAAACACAGCCAGCUGGGGACUCCUGGCAGCUUAGGGAUCAAGUGACAAAUGCACAAUGUAGUCAUUGCCUUGUAGUCCUUGCAGCCCGAGGUGUCCAGUGUCUUUUAGUGCAAGGCGUGAGGAGCUAAAUGGGAUAGGACACAGUCAGCAUUCUCCACAACUGGUAUCCACAUUUAGUCCCAGGUGGAUACAGACUUUUUCCUCCUCUGUUCCAUCCAGCCUCUGGACUCCUUAUCGACACAAGAAUGGAAAGUUACUUACAUGUUGGAUGGAAAUGUGGAGUGCAAUUCAACGCAAAUGCUGACAUUGAAGAUUUCCCAUCCAACCAACAGAAAUUCCCCUGGCCCACCACACUUGGGUAACUCGAGUUCUGGAAUUCCAGCCUCGGUUAACCCAAAUCCACAAAUUUGCUGGAGUUAUGAAACUUAGUGAGAGUACUCUUUUUCUAUUAUUCACUCCCAAUAUGUUGUGUUCUGACCCGACACCACGGAAUUUAUUUUCCCCACAUGUUUAACCCUCUGCAUGUUGAUUACCUUUUGGUAUCUGCC
ensembl:lncRNA